GGAAAGACUUACGAUGGAUACUUAGACACCAGAGACGAGAAAGGGCGUAGUAAGCAAUGAAAUACUUCGAGGAGUUGAAAAUAAGCGUAGAUCCGAAGAUUCCCCAAUAGGUCAACUUUUUGAACUACUGUUGAAUCUAUGGGCAGACAAGAGACAACCUGGCGAACUGAAACAUCUUAGUAACCGGAGGAAAAGAAAGCAAAAGCGAUUCUCGUAAUAGCGGUGAGCGAAAUGGGAGCAGCCUAAACCAUGAAAACAGAGUUGUGAGAGAGAAAUAAAAGCGUCGUGCUGCUAGGCGAAGCGGUGAAGUGCUGAACCAUAGAUGGCGUUAGUCCAGUAGCCGAAAGCAUUAUUAGCUUACGCUUUUACUCGAGUAGUAUGGGGCACGUGAAAUCCCAUGUGAAUUAGUAAUAACCGUCUUACAAGGCUAAAUACUCUUCGGUGACCAAUAACGAAGUAGUACCGUGAGGGAAGGGUGAAAAGAACCCCCGUCAGAAAGUGAAAUAGAACAUGAAACCGUAAGCUCUUAAGCAGUGAGAGGAGCCUAGGGCCUUAAUCGCGUGCCUGUUGAAGAAUGAGUUGACGACUCAUAAGCAGUGGCUUGGUUAAGGAAACCUAUCGGAGCUGUAGCUAAAACGAGUCUUUAUAUGGCAACUGUCACUGCUUAUGGACCCAAACCUGGGUGAUAUAUCCAUGACCAGGAUGAAGCUUGGGUGAAACUAAGUGGAGGUUCGAACCAACUGAUGCUGAAGAAUCAGUGGAUGAGUUAUGGUUAAGGGUGAAAUGCCACUCGAACCUAGAGCUAGUUGGUUUUCCUCGAAAUACGUUGAAGCGCAGUAGUUGAUUAGACAUCUAGGGGUAAAGCACUAUUUUGGUGCAAUCUACAAUAGCAGUACCAAAUCGAGGUAAAAUCUAAAUACUAUAUAUGACUUCAAAAUAACAGGGGUCGAGGUCGGUCUGUGAGACGAUGAGGGAUAAGCUUUAUCGUCAAGAGGGAAACAGUUUGGAUCACCAAUUAAGGCCCUUAAAUGACUGCUCAGUGAUAAAGGAGGUAGGGAUGCAUAGAUAGCCAGGAGGUUUGCUUAGAAGCAGUCACUCUUGAAAGAGUGCGUAAUAGCUCAUUGAUCGAACGCUCUUGCGCCAAAGAUGAAUGGGGCUAAGCGAUCUGCCGAAGUUGUAGGAUGUAAAAAUGCAUCAGUAAGGGAACGUUCCACCUUAGAGGGAAGCACCCGCGUGAGCGGGAGUAAACGAAGCGAAAGCGAGAAUGUCGGUUUGAGUAACGCAAACAUUGGUGAGAAUCUAAUGCUAAAAAACCCAAGGGUUCCUCCACAAGGUUCUUCCACAAAGGCUAAUUCAGGGCCUAAGAUCAGGCCGAAAGGCGUAGUCGACGGAUAACAAUUGAAUAUUCCUAUAUUACCCCUUGUUGGUCUCGAGGGACGGAAGAGGCUAGGUUAGUCGAAAGAUGAUUAUCGGUUCAAGGAUGCAAGGUGCCCAUGCUUUUUCAGGGUAAGAAGAGGUAGAGAAAAUACCCCGAGCUAAUGUUCAAGUACGAGGCGCUAUGACGCUGAAGUAACCCAUGUUAUACUCCUAAGAAAAGCUCUAACGACCUUCAAUAAAAGGGUACCUAUACUCGAAAUUGACACAGAUGGGUAGGUAGAGAAUACCUAGGGGCACGAGACAACUCUUUAUAAGGAACUCGGUAAAAUAGCCCUGUAACUUCGGGAGAAAGGGUGCCUCCUCACAAAGAGGGUCGCAGUGAGCAGGCCCGAGCGACUGUUUACCAAAAACACAAGUCUCCGCAAAGUCAUAAGACCAUGUAUGGGGGCUGACACCUACCUAGUGCCGGAAGGUCAAGAAAGUUGGUGACCUGAUGAUAGAAGAGUCGACGACUGAAGCCCCGGUGAACGGCGGUCGUAACUAUAACGGUUCUAAGGUAGGGAAAUUUCUUGUCUGGUAAGUUUUGACCCGCACGAAAGGCGUAACAAUCUGGGUACUGUCUCGAAGAGAGGCUCGAUAAAAUAGAAAUGUCUGUGAAGAUGCGGACUACCCGCACCUGGACAAAAAAACCCUAUAAAGCUUCACUAUUCCUUGGGAUUGGCUUUGAGCUUUUCCUACGCAACUUAGGUGGAAGGUGAAGAAGGCCUCCUUUCGAGGGGGCUCGAGUCAUCAAUAAGAUACCACUUUAGAAUAGCUAGAAUUCUAACCUUGUGUUAAGACCUACGGAUCAAGAGAUAGUAUCAAGUAGAUAGUUUCUAUGGGGCGUAGGGCUCCUAAAAGGUAACGGAAGCAUGCAAAGGUUUCUUUGGGCCGGACGGAGAUUGGCACUCGAGUGCGAAAGUAGAAGGGAGCUUGAUUACAAGACCCACCCGUUGAGCAAGGACGAAAGUUGCCCUUAGUGAUCCGACAGUGCCGAGUGAAAGGGUCGUCGUUCAACGGAUAAAAGUUACUCUAGGUAUAACAGGCUAAUCUUCCCCAAUAGCUCACAUCGAGGGAAGGUUUGGCACCUCGAUGUCGACUCUUCGCCACCUAGGGUUGUAGUAUGUUCCAAGGGUUGAGCUAUUCGCCCAUUAAAGCGGUACGUGAGUUAGGUUGAGAACGUCGUGAGAUAGUUCGGUCCAUAUUCGGUGUGGGCGUUAGAGAAUUAAGAGGACCUUUCCCUAAUAUAAAAGGAUCGGGAAAGAUGCACCUCUGGUAUACCAGUUAUCGUGCCUACAAUAAACGCUGGGUAGCCAAGUGCGGAGCGGAUAACUACUGAAAGCAUCUAAGUAGUAAGCCCACCCCAAGAUGAGUGCUCUCCUAUUUCGACUUCCCCAAAGCUUCCAAUAGCACAACCGAGACGGCAAAGGGUUCUUUGUCUCUACGGGGAUCGAGUGAUAGAAGUUUUGAGAAUUCAAGAGAAGGUCAUGACGAGAUGAGCCGUUUAUCAUUACGAUAGGUGUCAAGUGGAAGUGCAGUGAUGUAUGCAGCUGAGGCAUCCUAACAGACCGGUAGACUUGAAC
rnacentral:rRNA from 1 species